GAUGAAGAACGUAGCGAAAUGCGAUAAGUAAUGUGAAUUGCAGAAUUCAGUGAAUCAUCGAAUCUUUGAACGCACAUUGCGCCCCCUGGUAUUCCGGGGGGCAUGCCUGUCCGAGCGUCAUUACAACCCUCAAGCUCAGCUUGGUGUUGGGCCCCGCCGCCCCGGCGGGCCCUAAAGUCAGUGGCGGUGCCGUCCGGCUCCGAGCGUAGUAAUUCUUCUCGCUCUGGAGGUCCGGUCGUGUGCUCGCCAGCAACCCCCAAUUUUUUUCAGGUUGACCUCGUAUCAGGUAGGGAUACCCGCUGAACUUAAGCAUAUCAAUAAGCGGAGGA
rnacentral:misc_RNA from 1 species